rnacentral:rRNA from 1 species
CAGUCGCCACGGUAAUACGAAGGGGGCUAGCGUUGUUCGGAUUUACUGGGCGUAAAGGGCGCGUAGGCGGACUGAUAAGUCAGGGGUGAAAUCCCAAGGCUCAACCUUGGAACUGCCUUUGAUACUGUUUGUCUUGAGUUCGAGAGAGGUAAGUGGAACUGCGAGUGUAGAGGUGAAAUUCGUAGAUAUUCGCAAGAACACCAGUGGCGAAGGCGGCUUACUGGCUCGAAACUGACGCUGAGGCGCGAAAGCGUGGGGAGCAAAUGGGAUUAGAGACCCCUGUAGUCCCUGUCUCUUAUAU